AGAGUUUGAUCAUGGCUCAGAACGAACGCUGGCGGCGUGGAUUAGGCAUGCAAGUCGAGCGAGAAAGGGGUAGCAAUACCCCGAGUAAAGCGGCGAACUGGUGAGUAACAGGUGGGCAACGUGCCCUGAAGCGGGGGAUAACACCGGGAAACCGGUGCUAAUACCGCAUGUGGCCCCCGGAGACCAAGGUCUCUUGGGUUAAAGCAGUGAUGCACUUCAGGAUCGGCCCGCCCCUGAUUAGCUUGUUGGUGAGGUAACGGCUCACCAAGGCUACGAUCAGUAGCUGGUCUGAGAGGAUGGUCAGCCACACUGGGACUGAGAUACGGCCCAGACUCCUACGGGGGGCAGCAGUCUAGAGGCUUCGUCAAUGGGGGCAACCCUGAACGAGCGACGCCGCGUGUGGGAUUGAAGGCCUUCGGGUUGUAAACCACUGUGGAGAGGGACGAAUGCCCGGAUGGCGAAUCCGGGAGUGACGGUACCUUUAUAGCAAGCCCCGGCUAACUCCGUGCCAGCAGCCGCGGUAAUACGGAGGGGGCAAGCGUUGUUCGGAUUUACUGGGCGUAAAGGGUGUGUAGGCGGUGGCGUAAGUCUGGUGUGAAAUCUUCAUCGCUCAACGGGAAGAGGUCACUGGAAACUACGUCACUCGAGUGUGGUAGAGGCAAGCGGAAUUCCUGGUGUAGCGGUGGAAUGUGUAGAUAUCAGGAGGAACACCGGUGGCGAAGGCGGCUACCUGGACCGAAACUGACGCUGAGACACGAAAGCGUGGGGAGCAAACAGGAUUAGAUACCCUAGUAGUCC
rnacentral:rRNA from 1 species